AUACUCUGGUUUCUCUUCAGAUCGUAUAAAUCUUUCGCCUUUUACUAAAGAUUUCCUCUGAAUUCCUACAAGGUUGACUAAGCCCUUCAUCCUUCCAAACAAGCUGUAUUAAGUU